rnacentral:rRNA from 1 species
AAUAGAUACCCAGGUAGUCCACGCCGUAAACGAUGAGUGCUAAGUGUUAGAGGGUUUCCGCCCUUUAGUGCUGCAGCUAACGCAUUAAGCACUCCGCCUGGGGAGUACGGUCGCAAGACUGAAACUCAAAGGAAUUGACGGGGGGCCCGCACAAGCGGUGGAGCAUGUGGUUUAAUUCGAAGCAACGCGAAGAACCUUACCAGGUCUUGACAUCCCACUGACCGGUAUAGAGAUAUACCUUUCCCCUCGGGGACAGUGGUGACAGGUGGUGCAUGGUUGUCGUCAGCUCGUGUCGUGAGAUGUUGGGUUAAGUCCCGCAACGAGCGCAACCCUUGAUCUUAGUUGCCAGCAUUUAGUUGGGCACUACUAAGGUGACUGCCGGUGACAAACCGGAGGAAGGUGGGGAUGACGUCAAAUCAUCAUGUCCCCUUAUGACCUGGGCUACACACGUGCUACAAUGGAUGGUACAAAGGGCUGCAAGACUGCGAAGUCAAGCCAAUCCCAAUAAAACCAUUCUCAGUUCGGAUUGCGAGG